rnacentral:rRNA from 1 species
UACGUAGGGCGCAAGCGUUAUCCGGAAUUAUUGGGCGUAAAGAGCUCGUAGGCGGUUUGUCGCGUCUGCCGUGAAAGUCCGGGGCUCAACCUCGGGUCUGCAGUCGAUACGAGCAAACUAGAGUGUUGCAGGGGAGACUGGAAUUCCUGGUGUAGCGGUGAAAUGCGCAGAUAUCAGGAGGAACACCGGUGGCGAAGGCGGGUCUCUGGGCAACAACUGACGCUGAGGAGCGAAAGCGUGGGGAGCGAACAGG